GACGAACGCUGGCGGCGUGCUUAACACAUGCAAGUCGAACGGAAAGGCCUCUUUCGGGGGGUACUCGAGUGGCGAACGGGUGAGUAACACGUGAGUAACCUGCCCUUGACUUUGGGAUAACUUCAGGAAACUGGGGCUAAUACCGGAUAGGAGCUCCUGCUGCAUGGUGGGGGUUGGAAAGUUUCGGCGGUUGGGGAUGGACUCGCGGCUUAUCAGCUUGUUGGUGGGGUAGUGGCUUACCAAGGCUUUGACGGGUAGCCGGCCUGAGAGGGUGACCGGCCACAUUGGGACUGAGAUACGGGCCAGACUCCUACGGGAGGCAGCAGUGGGGAAUAUUGCACAAUGGGUGGAAGCCUGAUGCAGCAACGCCGUGUGCGGGAUGACGGCCUUCGGGUUGUAAACCGCUUUCGCUCAUGACGAAGCUUUGUGUGACGGUAGUGGGUAAAGAAGCACCGGCUAACUACGUG
rnacentral:rRNA from 1 species